rnacentral:rRNA from 1 species
AUACGUAGGUGGCGAGCGUUGUCCGGAAUUAUUGGGCGUAAAGGGCGCGUAGGCGGAUUUAUAAGUCUGACUUAAAAGUGCAGGGCUCAACCCUGUGAGGGGUCAGAAACUAUGGAUCUUGAGUGCAGGAGAGGAAAGUGGAAUUCCCAGUGUAGCGGUGAAAUGCGUAGAUAUUGGGAGGAACACCAGUGGCGAAGGCGACUUUCUGGACUGUGUCUGACGCUGAGGCGCGAAAGCCAGGGGAGUGAACGGGAUUAGAUACCCCGGUAAUCCUGGCCGUAAACGAUGGGUACUAGGUGUAGGAGGUAUCGACCCCUUCUGUGCCGGAGUUAACGCAAUAAGUACCCCGCCUGGGGAGUACGGCCGCAAGGUUGA